GCAAGUCGAGCGUUCCCGGCAGCCAACUUAAGUUGGGAGCCGGAUAGCGGCGGACGGGUGAGUAACGCGUGGGCAACCUACCCUUAAGACCGGGAUAACACCUCGAAAGGGGUGCUAAUACUGGAUAAGGUCAUAAGGUGGCAUCACCUUAUGAAGAAAGGGGGAACCCGCUUAAGGGUGGGCCCGCGUCCCAUCAGCUAGUUGGUGAGGUAACGGCUCACCAAGGCGACGACGGGUAGCCGGCCUGAGAGGGUGGUCGGCCACACUGGGACUGAGACACGGCCCAGACUCCUACGGGAGGCAGCAGUGGGGAAUCUUGCGCAAUGGGCGAAAGCCUGACGCAGCGACGCCGCGUGAGCGAGGAAGGCCUUCGGGUCGUAAAGCUCAAUAGUGUGGGAAGAAGUGAUGACGGUACCACACGAAAG
rnacentral:rRNA from 1 species